AGCUUGCUCCGCUGACGAGUGGCGAACGGGUGAGUAAUAUAUCGGAACGUACCCAGAAGUGGGGGAUAACGUAGCGAAAGUUACGCUAAUACCGCAUACGAUCUACGGAUGAAAGUGGGGGACCUUCGGGCCUCAUGCUUUUGGAGCGGCCGAUAUCUGAUUAGCUAGUUGGUGAGGUAAAGGCUCACCAAGGCGACGAUCAGUAGCUGGUCUGAGAGGACGACCAGCCACACUGGAACUGAGACACGGUCCAGACUCCUACGGGAGGCAGCAGUGGGGAAUUUUGGACAAUGGGCGCAAGCCUGAUCCAGCAAUGCCGCGUGAGUGAAGAAGGCCUUCGGGUUGUAAAGCUCUUUUGUCAGGGAAGAAACGGUAGAGGCUAAUAUCCUUUGCUAAUGACGGUACCUGAAGAAUAAGCACCGGCUAACUACGUGCCAGCAGCCGCGGUAAUACGUAGGGUGCAAGCGUUAAUCGGAAUUACUGGGCGUAAAGCGUGCGCAGGCGGUUUUGUAAGUCUGACGUGAAAUCCCCGGGCUCAACCUGGGAAUUGCGUUGGAGACUGCAAGGCUAGAAUCUGGCAGAGGGGGGUAGAAUUCCACGUGUAGCAGUGAAAUGCGUAGAGAUGUGGAGGAACACCGAUGGCGAAGGCAGCCCCCUGGGUCAAGAUUGACGCUCAUGCACGAAAGCGUGGGGAGCAAACAGGAUUAGAUACCCUGGUAGUCCACGCCC
rnacentral:rRNA from 1 species